CGGAAUUAAUAAAAGCGUACUUAGGAAAAGUCGUACCUGCCGGUGAUAAUUAUUUUGCGGCAUUA
rnacentral:tRNA from 1 species